GUGGUUGUAGCUCAGUGGUAGAGCACUUGCCUGGCGUGUGAGGCACUGAGUUCAAUCCUCAGCACCACA
rnacentral:tRNA from 1 species